rnacentral:rRNA from 1 species
AUUGGGAUAGCUACGCGAAAGUGUAGGUAAUACCGGAUAAGCUGCAGUGAUACUUUCAUUGCAGGAAUGGCUAGCCGCAAGGCCGGCGCCUUAGGAUGAGCUCAUGUCCUAUUAGCUAGUUGGCGGGGUAACGGCCUACCAAGGCAACGAUCUCUAACAGGUCUGAGAGGAUGACCUGUCACACUGGAACUGAGACACGGUCCAG